AUGAGUUAAUGGUUAUAGUUGCAUUGGUAUCUAUUCAAGUAUUGUAAGGAAUGUAUUUGAAGGUCUCGUACCUGGGAAGUAAACUUUGAUGUAUGUAAAUUAAGUUUGAAUGUAAUAUUACUAUUGUAUUAUUCAGCUUAUAGAAAUGGUAUCGUGAAGUACUGAGUUCGGGUUUCAAGUACCCGGAUUCGGGGGCGUCACAGAUAUUGAGUGAACGUUCUAUUAAGCCUUUGUGGCAAGGAAUUACUGUUGAUUCACAUUGUUAUAAACAUGAAUUGUGAAUUUAACUAACAUCUUUAGUGGUUCAGGUGAAGACAGGUGAUGAAAGUUCUCUUUAUCUUGGGUAUAAUAAAGAACUGUUAAUGGGUAUUACAGCAAUAAUAUUUAUGAUAAACUUUUUAAAUCAUAGAAGAUAAUAGAUAUCAUGCUCUACUUGACUCUUCUAAUGGAUUGAUCGUUCCGCUACAGUUAUUGAUCUAAAACUUGUUGUCUAUUAUAUUAUAUCAGUUGUUAUACUGUUGAAGGCUAACGAUAAUUUAUUCUGCAUUAUCUUAGUCAUAAUAUUUCUUACUGGGCUAAUUGAACUCACCCUUUUCUUUCACUGUUCUCUUCAGGAAAUGAGAAUAUAGCUGGGACUAGUCAGGGAAUGGAGUGACGGUUCAGAUAGUUGUUUUAGUAGUCCUCACUACUCUAUGAAAUAGUGUGAUAAUAAAUAUAAUGAGGACUUCAUUUGAGUUUGAAUACUGUCUAUGAGACAAUAUUCGUGUAAAAACUCUAAGCUACGUUUUGUCGUACUGUAUAAAAGAAGUGUGUAUUUAAAUUAUGUACUAUGUAUUUGGCGACUCAGAAUGAAUGAUGUAUACCUAUUUUUGGG
rnacentral:lncRNA from 1 species